rnacentral:rRNA from 1 species
GACGAACGCUGGCGGCGUGCUUAACACAUGCAAGUCGAACGGAAAGGCCCUGCUUUUGUGGGGUGCUCGAGUGGCGAACGGGUGAGUAACACGUGAGUAACCUGCCCUUGACUUUGGGAUAACUUCAGGAAACUGGGGCUAAUACCGGAUAGGAGCUCCUGCUGCAUGGUGGGGGUUGGAAAGUUUCGGCGGUUGGGGAUGGACUCGCGGCUUAUCAGCUUGUUGGUGGGGUAGCGGCUUACCAAGGCUUUGACGGGUAGCCGGCCUGAGAGGGUGACCGGCCACAUUGGGACUGAGAUACGGCCCAGACUCCUACGGGAGGCAGCAGUGGGGAAUAUUGCACAAUGGGCGGAAGCCCGAUGCAGCAACGCCGCGUGCGGGAUGACGGCCUUCGGGUUGUAAACCGCUUUCGCCUGUGACGAAGCGUGAGUGACGGUAAUGGGUAAAGAAGCACCGGCUAACUACGUG